GACGAACGCUGGCGGCGUGCCUAAUACAUGCAAGUAGAACGCUGAAGAAAGGAGCUUGCUUCUUUUGGAUGAGUUGCGAACGGGUGAGUAACGCGUAGGUAACCUGCCUUGUAGCGGGGGAUAACUAUUGGAAACGAUAGCUAAUACCGCAUAACAACUUUUGACACAUGUUAGAAGCUUGAAAGAUGCAAUUGCAUCACUACGAGAUGGACCUGCGUUGUAUUAGCUAGUAGGUAGGGUAACGGCCUACCUAGGCGACGAUACAUAGCCGACCUGGGAGGGGGCUCGGCCACACUGGGACUGAGACACGGCCCAGACUCCUACGGGAGGCAGCAGUAGGGAAUCUUCGGCAAUGGGGGCAACCCUGACCGAGCAACGCCGCGUGAGUGAAGAAGGUUUUCGGAUCGUAAAGCUCUGUUGUAAGAGAAGAACGUGUGUGAGAGUGGAAAGUUCACACAGUGACGGUAACUUACCAGAAAGGGACGGCUAACUACGUGCCAGCCGCCGCAGUAAGAC
rnacentral:rRNA from 1 species